GUCCGUUAUUGCAUAUGGAAAUUAUGCAUUUUAUUGAAAUUGUUUUACCAUACAUAUUAAUAAUACAACUUGAAUACUUGAUUGCUAUACGCUACAAUUACUUAGUAAAACGUUUACUUGUAUAGACUAUAGUCAAUGUCAUUGACUAGACCUAAAUCAUAAAUGAUCAUUUUACAAGUACAUAUUAUAAGCCAUAGCUAAUUAACAUUUACAUGUAACAUGUUUUUCAAAUCUACGUUUCUGCUACUUUUCAUAUUUACAACAGUUGUUAGUUCUACAACCGAAUGUUCAUCUUCCAUCAUUUCUGCGACCAAACACCCCUUCAAUUAACACAACCCUUAAACUAACACAACCCUUAAAAACACCCCACUCUGGCUGUAAUGCUCUAAUCCCUCUAAACGUACUGUAUACUACAAAAACUUUAACGAUAACACUAAUGUUGUUACAAACUACAUUUCAAUGUACAGUACAGUACUUGAUUAUCAUUAGUGUUUAGACAAUAUAGCCAUAUAGGCAAUCGAGAGGGCCAAUGCACCGCUGUUUUGUGGUCUCUUGUUGUGUGCGAACAACACAUUGGUGUUGGCAUUGGCGUUGCCAGUAAAACUGUUAAAAAAUCCUCUCGAUUACCCAUAACAUAACAUUUCCAAUUACAAAUCCCAAACCCAAGGGUCUACCUUAAUGUUUUUUUCGCUGCUAGCAAAUCUAUGCUAGCAGGUUUCACUGUUACUAUAGCAAAGUCACUACCAAAAUUUAUCAAUACUUGCGCAUCUGUUUCACGCACGUAGCUUGCGCAGUUUUCGGUCGUCAGAAAUCACAUUUCUGAAACUUUACAUUUACCAAAAGUUUGGUAGUGAAAUGUUGUUUUUUUUACUAUUGUUAUUUUACUAUUUUCUGUUAAUUUUGUGUUAACCUGAGUGUCAGGCUUUAAUUCAGACGAAAAUGCAUUGGCCUGCAUUCAGUUCACUGCCUGAUACUCAGAUUGUUUUAUUAUUAUUCAUUGUUCUCGUUUUCAUUUCUCAUCUUCACUUCUCAAUUUCUCAUCUUCAGUUCUUAAUUUCUCAUUUUCAGUUCUUAAUUUCUCAUAUUCAUUUCUUAAUUUCUCAUUUUCAGUUCUCAAUUUCUCAUUUUCAGUUCUCAAUUUCUCAUUUUCAGUUCUCAAUUUCUCAUUUUCAGUUCUCAAUUUCUCAUUGUCAGUUCCUAAUUUCUCAUUUUCAGUUCUUAAUUUCUCAUUUUGAGUUCUUAAUUUCUCAUCUUCAGUUCUUAAUUUCUCAUUUUCAGUUAUUAAUUUCUCAUUUUCAGUUAUUAAUUUCUCAUCUUCAUUUCUCAAUUUCUCAUCUUCAGUUCUCAAUGUC